GUUCUGUGGAAUGCUCUUCUGUGUCAAUAAAACAGUCAGAUUCUGUAGAUACUUUCAAGUCCAGACUUAAGACGCACUUAUUUUCCCUUUCGUAUAGCUAGCAUACUGGCAUAGUAUGUUACUAUGCUUUAUACCCUUUUAAGUUCAUUUUAUUAGAAAACGGAGCAUGCUGCUCCCUCAACUUCAUCUAAAGUCUGGGUCUUUUAGUGAAGCUUAGGACUCGUGGUCGGCGAUCACUUUAUCCCUCUGGGGUCGAUGCUCUCAU